rnacentral:rRNA from 1 species
UACGAAGGGGGGCUAGCGUUGUUCGGAAUUACUGGGCGUAAAGCGCACGUAGGCGGCUUUGUAAGUUAGAGGUGAAAGCCCAGGGCUUAACCCUGGAAUUGCCUUUAAGACUGCAUCGCUCGAAUUGUGGAGAGGUGAGUGGAAUUCCGAGUGUAGAGGUGAAAUUCGUAGAUAUUCGGAAGAACACCAGUGGCGAAGGCGACUCACUGGACACAUAUUGACGCUGAGGUGCGAAAGCGUGGGGAGCAAACAGG